UCAAUAACUCAUACAUUAACCGCAUUCAUAAGAGGCUAUUUUGACAGGUCAUUUCUGAAUUUUUUGAAUUAAAUUAAUAGUACACAGAGAGACAUAAAUGAAAACUAAGUAAGUUUCAUUAAUAAUACAUGAAUACAGAAGUGAUGCCCACAAAAUAACAAAUCAGAUAAUUCUAUUUACUUACCCAUCAUAAAUUUUUAUUCAUUGAUGCGAAAAUAAAAUAUGGAUGAAAAGAGGUUGAUUGAAGAAAAGUAAAAUCAUUAAAUAAUUUUUUCUUUAUGAUAAAUUAGCCAAGCGUCUAGUGAUUUCAUAGAGUCAAAGAACGGAAUUUAAAUUACUGAUGUACUGAAAUCCUGAUUUUUAUGUCAAAUAUUCUAUCACUUCCUAACUAAUCCUUUUCAUAAAUAUGACUAAAAAAAUUACAAGUUUAAGUUGUUUCGAACUUAUCCUCUACACAUUCAUAAAUACGCCAUGAAACUAUGCAAUGUACAUCAAAGACAAAAAAAAAUGUUUAACUUGUAAAAUAAAUUGAGACUAGGCUUUUCAAAAUAGGGAUAUCUCCGAUAAAAUCUCAUACAUAAUCAUGCAAUCCGAAAUUGGAAUUGAGCUUGACAGGCAGGCUGCCAUUCUAGGAAGCUAUAUCUGUGACAGUGGAACAUAAAAAAGUCAUAUUUACAAAAAUCUAAUCCUUCUUCAAAGGAAUAAUUCUUGUCUCUACACCUUCUUUUGUGAUAAUCUUAACAAGAACUGAAUCACCAACCUCGAUGUGUCGUUCUCCAGCACUUGUAAAUGCAUCAGUAGUAAUCUUCAUAGCUUCCUCCAAUUUUAAAAGUCUCCUUGGCUUUCUCUCUUUUCCAUGUGAACCAGGAACGUACUGAUUAUGUAAGUUCACUUGAUUGUCGAGGAAUGGAGUAAUGAAGUUUGCAGCGGAUCCACCAGCACGGCACCAUUCCCGCUCAUAAGAGCCAACAGGAUCAAAAGAAUAAAUCUCUCCUUUUCCCUCUUUAUCGAUGCCGGCAACGGUUGUAUAUACAUAAUAGGGAAAAAAUCUCUUUCCGUACAAAAGUGUCCGUACCAUGCAAGCACAGGAUUGUGCACUCAUCUUGCGUUCAUGAUUAUCAUGAUACAAGUCAAUUCUUUGUUGAAUUCUCUUAACUAAAGCUAGGGCAUCGGCUUCGAAACCAGAUGCUCCAAUGACCAAAUCAUCACCGACUUCAUGCACGCGAGGUUGAAACCGCGUAUUAAUGUUGUAACCAUUAACACUUCUUGUAUCUCCAGCUAAAAUGGCAAACCCAUCGCCAGCGAUUGCAACAGUGGUACCACCAUUUUGUACAUAAGGAUCAAACUGAGACUGUGACAUGAUUUUUGUGACGUUUAAUUUAUUUUUUUCUUAAAAAGUUUAAAAGAUGAAGCGAAUUAUUAAUUUCUAGUUUGCUAGAGCACUAUUUAUUGUCUCAACAAACCUUUUUGGUGCUUAGUAGUUGGUGAGUUGGAUAUGCUUAUGUUACCUAAGUACUUGUACUAUAGCAGUGAAUACGUUAUUCAUAAUUGUCCCCCAAAAAUAUACAUUGCUCUAUAUAAAAUUACCUAGGAAGAUGUAUAUUUUUGAGUUUUCUAGUAAUGUUAUCUGCAUUUCAAGGUUUUCAUAUAAAAAAAGAAGCCUUUCUACACUGUACAUAUGAAUAUUUAAGAUUUUCUCAAUUGAAAAACAUUUCAUUAAAAUUGUGAUUGGUUUCUGUCGAUCAUGGAUUGUCGAUAUGCGUACCGAAUUUUGUCGAAAAUGAAUAUUUAGGUGAAUAAUGCAUAAAAUCUCGAAACUUAAUCAUUCCUAACGCAAAAUAUAUAUAUCAUCAUUUUAAGCACAUAAUGAGUUUAAAACAUUGAAGAAGCUUGGAAUACCAUCAGUAUAAGCCUUAGCUUCUGUAUUACCAACACCCAUUGAAACAGUAAAUGAUGAAACUUUGCUCUUAUUGGCCCAAGCAAAAACUGAUUCGUCGGUACGAUUGUUUCCUGCCACUAGAAUUAAAUCAAGCUCUUCAGGAUUUUUAAUGAGAUGAGUCAUAAUGUAAUUGGCAGCAGUAGCUUUACUAAUAGUAGUAGGCUCGCAAAGUACUCGCCCAUCUAGAGGAACAGCACGGCAGCCAUGCUGUGUUUCAUUAAUACUACUGGCCAACUCGCCAGCCGAUCGUAAACCGUUCUCUCUGUUUUCUGCCUUUACAUAAUUAAAUUCCAUGGCAAAGCCGUGAUCAAUUAGCGAGGAGCCAGGUGUUCUUUCACUGUAAUAUUGAAUAAUGUCAUGCAAUGGCUCACGCCAGUCCAUUUGUUGCUUUUUGUACAAACGAAUCCACGAUUGAUGAACAUUCUCAGCAUAGUGUGGUAGCACAUAACAGCCGUUUUCCGCAAUCAAACCAACACCCGGAACAUGCAUGAAUAACGAUUCAAGCUCGUCUUCCUCUAAACAACUAGCUAUGUAUACAAUAUUUCGAUCAUCAGCGAUCAACUUUGACAAUAUGCUGACCAUAUAUCCAUAAUGGAAAUCGACAAACUCAUGGCGACCUUCCCAGGUAACAGCGUUUCCAUCAAAAUUAAGAAUUAAUAACCUCUUCUUUGCAUGAUCAUAGCGAUUGCCAAUGAAAUUCAAUGUGAAUCUUGGCAAACGAGAAAAGUCACGUUUUUGUUGAGAAGUCCAAGACUUUUUGAGUUUCGUCUCAAAGCCAGUGACCCAAUUGCUAGCAGAAUGAGUUAAUACAACAUCCAGACAGUUGGAAUAUCGCUGAUUACGUUCAUUAGUACUUAACGUAAGCGCUUUUUUCAUUGACAAACUCAGUUCCAACGUGCUCCAGGGGUUAACAAUGAAUGCACCGUUAGAGAACAUUGAAGCACAGCCAAUGAAUUCACUAACAAUCAACGGCGACUUCUUUUGACGUUGUGUAAGGAUAAAUUCGUGGCAAGUCAAACUCAUUCCUUCACGUAAAGAUGUCACAAUGAAAGCAUCUGCAACAGAUAGCAAAGCAAGAUACUGAGGAUAUGAUAGAUCACUUGACAAAAUUGUGACAGGAAGAUGAUCUAGUGAAAAGUCUCCGAAAGCAGAAUUGAUUCUAGUGACGAUAUCGGAUAUUGCAACGCCAUACUCCUUCUGCUCUUCAGUAAAGGUUGAAGUUUGAAUCAGAAUGGUAUUUUUUUGAUACUCAGGGUUAUCGUAAAGAAAUUGUUCGAAAGCCAAAAGUUUCUCACGAAUUCCUCUUAUAGGAUCCAUUUUGUCACAUCCCACAAAGAUAUUGAGAUUUGCGUAGCGCUUUUCGAGAACUUCUUUAACCUCUAAAGUCUCAGGGUUUUCAAGCCACUUGUCCACUAAAACCGGGUCUGCACCGAUAGGAUGUGCAUAUACAUCUAUAUACCUAUCAUCCAGAAGAAUUCGAUCGAAAGUUGAUUCAGCAUAAAGUACACGAGAACAAGAUUGAAGGAAAUGGCGCUUGUAUUCCUCAGUUUGGAAACCAAUUAAAUUCGACCCAAGCAUACCUUGAAGAAGUUCUUUUCUUCGGGCAAAGCAACGAAAAACUUCGGAAGAGGGAAAAGAAACAUGAAUAAAUAAGCCAAUAAUUGCACUGGGUAUCCUCUCUCUAACCAUAUUUGGAACCAAAAGCAAAUGAUAGUCAUUAACCCAAAUGGUAUCACCAGUUUUGUAAUUCUUUAUUAAAGCAUCGGCAAACGCCCUGUUUACGGCGACAUAGUCGUCCCAAUUACUUUCUUCAUGGAAGAAUGAAAAUAUUUCGUUAUGCUGAUAAUGCAAUGAGGGCCAUAAAAUCUUACGGCAGUAGUGAUUAUAGUGACCCUCAAAGUUCGAAUCAGAGGUAUAAACAACCAAAGAUUGGUGUUUUACUAACAAAGCUCCUGAAAUAGCAUUUUUUGUUUUCUCAGAUAACGAUUCAGUUGGCAUACCAAGGAGACCAACCCAUAGAGGGUUCUGCAAUCCAUGAUCACGAACAGCUGCGUCCACAGCAUGAAAUAAACCACUAUUUCCUACAACUCCUCGCUCAACAGACCAACGAGCAGAUUCAAAAAGUGCAACAGAUUUCGCUAAAGAAUCUCUUCUCUUUCGACGAAUAGGAAGUGCACCAGCGCCGAUACCAGGUGCCGCAAAACGAUCGGCCUGCCUAACACGAGAAGGAGAAGUAGCGCGAGAACGAGGUUGGGUAUACAGAGGAGAGGAUCGGCCAGAUCCUGGAAUAGGGGACAUAGCACCUAAUCCCGGGGUCAUUGAACCACCAGUUCUCUUUGACGGACCCAAGCUAAAAUAGUCAUUCAUCCCCUCAAGUUGAGGCGUCAAAACAGGAGUAGCCUGACCACUUUCGGAUUUUGAGAUACUUAAACGAGUAAGGAUAUCAUCUAUCUUGACAGAAUCACGGUGUGUUUGUGUGACCUUCUCCUGAUGAGUAAUUGCUGGAUGUGAUUCAUGGUUACCUUCCAGCUCAUCAAGGUGAAAAUUGAUGGUAUAUGGAAGAUAAAUUGAGCAAAUGAAUUGUCUUCCCAUGAUUGUAGUUCAAAGUAUUAAUAUACUUGAGUAAAAUAAAUAAA